AUUAAAGUUGUUGCAGUUAAAAAGCUCGUAGUUGAAUUUCGGGGUUAGUAGGUUGGUCAUGCCUCUGGUAUGUACUGGUCUCACUGAUUCCUCCUUCCUGAUGAACCUUAAUGCCAUUAAUUUGGUGUUUUGGGGAAUUUGGACUGUUACUUUGAAAAAAUUAGAGUGUUUAAAGCAAGCUAACGCUUGAAUACAUUAGCAUGGAAUAAUGAAAUAGGACGUUCGAUCCUAUUUUGUUGGUUUCUAGGAUUGACGUAAUGAUUAAUAGGGAUAGUUGGGGGCAUUAGUAUUCAAUUGUCAGAGGUGAAAUUCUUGGAUUUAUUGAAGACUAACUACUGCGAAAGCAUUUGCCAAGGAUGUUUUCAUUAAUCAAGAACGAAAGUUAGGGGAUCGAAGACGAUCAGAUACCGUCGUAGUCUUAACCAUAAACUAUGCCGACUAGGGAUCGGAUGAUGUUAAUUUUUUAAUGACUCAUUCGGCGCCUUAC
rnacentral:rRNA from 1 species